rnacentral:lncRNA from 1 species
AAGAAGGGGGAAAGGAAGGUUUACAUACACGGGGUCUGCCAAGUUGAUCUCUGAAACAGAAGAGAGAAAGCACGAGUGUUUCAACUUUCAAAAGUAAAGAUCUCAUAAAAGUUCUUCACAUUGAUCACUAAAUUGAAACGGGCAUAGAACACGAGGAAACUUCUCAGAAACAUGUAAGAAGCUAAUAUAUGCUAAUGAAGUGAACUUGAACUUCAAGUAUGUUAUGUACAUUUAAAUUAUGAAUCUCAUACAGUAUUUGAUUGAUCUAAAUGAAAAAAAAAAAACAAAUAUCAAAGUGGUUCCAUUACACAAAGCCAUGAUUUCCACAAGCGACGAAUUAACCUAACAGCUUCAUGUUCCCUUAAGGCUCUCACCUAGUCAAUUAUAUUUGACAAAUUUUAGUAACGAAAUGGACUAAUGGAUCCAUUCUAGUAUAUAUGAACACGCAUAAACGAAGAGAAAUCUGCAUUUGGAAAUUUACUCAACAUGAAAAAUGGAAACGAUUAAAGCACAAUUAAACUAACAUAUAUACAGAGAGCAUUUGCUGCCCAGUAAAACAAAGAAGAGAUGGAGAAUUAGCUUACAGGAACGAAUAAAUUUGAUCCGCCUGAGGUCGAAAUUAGGUGUAGUGGUACUGCAUAAUCUGCAAAAUCGCAAGGAGAGAAGAAAACAGCAGAUCCUGAGUCGAUAUGUUAAUCCAAAGAAGAAUUUACCCAAAAAUGCUUGAAUUUAGACAUAUGUAGGUAAAAUGCGAUCCCUAAUUACUGAAUUAAGUAUAAAAACUCUACAUUUGCUCUGAAUUGAACAAGAUGCAGCCAUUGAAGCUAAAUUGGGAAGACGGUAUGAUAGAACUUCUUUCCAGAAAUAGAAGAGAAUGUUACCCUGG